AUUCAUGCGAGUACAGUGGUAAUAGGGAGCUUGCUCUGCUGUCGACCGGCGCACGGGUGCGUCACGCGUAUAGAACCUACCUUUUACAGGGGAAUAGCCUUUAGAAAUGAAGAUUAAUGCCCCAUAGUAUUGUAGACUGGCAUCAGUUUACAAUUAAAGAUUUAUCGGUAAAAGAUGGCUAUGCGUCCUAUUAGUUAGUUGGUAAGGUAACGGCUUACCAAGACAUCGAUAGGUAGGGGUCCUGAGAGGGAGAUCCCCCACACUGGUACUGAGACACGGACCAGAUUUAUACGGGAGGCAGCAGUGAGGAAUAUUGGGCAAUGGAGGAGACUCUGACCCAGCCAUGCCGCGUGUAGGAAGAAUGCCCUAUGGGUUGUAAACUACUUUUAUA
rnacentral:rRNA from 1 species